rnacentral:rRNA from 1 species
CAGUCGCCGCGGUAAUACAGAGGGUGCGAGCGUUAAUCGGAUUUACUGGGCGUAAAGCGCACGCAGGCGGUCUGUCAAGUCGGAUGUGAAAUCCCCGGGCUCAACCUGGGAACUGCAUUCGAAACUGGCAGGCUAGAGUCUUGUAGAGGGGUGUAGAAUUCCAGGUGUAGCGGUGAAAUGCGUAGAGAUCUGGAGGAAUACCGGUGGCGAAGGCGGCCCCCUGGACAAAGACUGACGCUCAGGUGCGAAAGCGUGGGGAGCAAACAGGAUUAGAUACCCGGGUAGUCCCUGUCUCUUAUAC